CGGGCGGGUGAGUAAUGCUUGGGAAUCUAGUUUAUGGAGGGGGAUAACUACGGGAAACUGUAGCUAAUACCGCGUAGUAUCGGAAGAUGAAAGUGUGGGACCUUCGGGCCACAUGCCAUAGGAUGAGCCCAAGUGGGAUUAGGUAGUUGGUGAGGUAAAGGCUCACCAAGCCGACGAUCUCUAGCUGGUCUGAGAGGAUGACCAGCCACACUGGGACUGAGACACGGCCCAG
rnacentral:rRNA from 1 species